rnacentral:lncRNA from 10 species
CUUCACAUCCAUGACCCUGCACAUCGUGUCUGUUCACAGCAACCUCAGCGUGGCCAGGAGUCUGGGACAGGAAAAUGUGCUGGGGUUACCUGAUGACCAUCCAGAGGCCUCCAGGCAUGGCUCCACCAUGACGGAGACAACUUGGUUUCCAACCCCUCCCAUACCACAUUUGAUUAAGUUAAAUACAGUAUGGCUUCCAAAUGUGCCACCCGGCUCUUGCUCACAGAGACAGCACCAGCGGUUUGCUGCCCUCAGGUCUUGGUUACCAUGUGUCGGGAACUUCAAAGAGCGUGGCAGGACUGUUCGUCCAGAUGCUUCCUGGUGGGAAAGAAUGAAACAAUAUGAACAGCAGGACGGCACCUUGAGGAGAGCAUGACAUGACCAGCAGAGAGACAGAGGGCCUGUGAUGGCUGCAGACGGGGCCAGCGUCUGGCUAAACAGCUGUACUGGAAACAGUCCACAGACAGGUCUUGUCUAGGGAGGGCAGUGCCCAGCAUGGGAAGGUGAAACCACAGAAACAUCACGGGGGGGCGGAGGAAGCACCUCCCUGCCUCCAGCAUCUAUUUAUUUCACAGGAGUUAAACUGUAGCCAUGCACGGUAUUCCUCACUGAGCACCAUGCUGGAUUCUUUGCUGGCAAUACAGUGGGCAUUUAACUCAUAUAAUCUUCAUUAAAAGCCCACCGAGGUGGUAACACUACCCCAUUUUACAGAUGCAAGAACAGAUUGCGAGAAGUGGGGUAAUAUGACCAGAUGCACAGAGCUAGCAAGUGGCUGAGAUGGGGUUUGAAUCCUCCCACAGCACCAAGAUCCCUGCCAAAGUCCCCGGAA